rnacentral:tRNA from 1 species
GCCUGAGUGGCUCAGUGGUUGAGUGUCUGCCUUUGGCUCAGGUCAUGAUCCCGGGGUCCUGGGAUCAAGUCCCAGAUAAGGCU